rnacentral:rRNA from 1 species
GAAUAUUGGACAAUGGGGGGAACCCUGAUCCAGCCAUGCCGCGUGUGUGAAGAAGGCCUUUUGGUUGUAAAGCACUUUAAGCGAGGAGGAGGCUACCGGGAUUAAUACUUUAGGAUAGUGGACGUUACUCGCAGAAUAAGCACCGGCUAACUAUGUGCACGCAGCCGCGGUAAUAAAGAUGGUGCGAGCGUUAAUCGGGUUUAAUGGGCGUAAAGCGUUCGUAGGCGGCGAAUUAAGUCAAAUGUGAAAUCCCCGGGCUUAACUUGGGAAUUGCAUUCGAUACUGGUUGGCUAGAGUAGGGGAGAGGAUGGUAGAAUUCCAGGUGUAGCGGUGAAAUGCGUAGAGAUCUGGAGGAAUACCGAUUGCGAAGGCAGCCAUCUGGCCUAAUACUGACGCUGAGGUACGAAAGCAUGGGGAGCAAACAG